rnacentral:lncRNA from 1 species
CCCAGAGACUCAAAGUAAAUUUUCUCUUCGGCAAAUCAGAAGGCUCUGCAUAAAUACUGCCAAUUGUUAAACAUUUACCUGCACAUACUGGGCUCAUCUUCAUUAUUGGUAAAAUGAGCUAGAUGCUAUUUUCCAUUAGCUCACACUCCAAUUCCAAUCGACCUGACCAUCAGAAGAGACAAAAAGGGAAAAUCCUGGCCAGUUCUCCCCUACCUGAUCAACCAGUAGCAUAAUCAGAUUUGCAAGACCUCAAGAAAAGAAACCUGAAAAUGCCACUGGAGGUGUGUGUUUUGCCAAAGAAAAAAGAAUCAAAAACAAAACCUGCAGGAUGAGGACAAACAAACAAAGAGCAGGGGCUCAGCCAUGAACCUUGUGAUGGAUGAGGAAAAGAUAUUCUUUUUCUCCCCUUACAGUUUCUGGCAGCCAACAUGGGGUGGCUGUGACACCCCACUAGUUCCAGAACCUGCAGAUGAGAUCCUGGGACAACCAAUAAAAAAACAACAAAAAGUUAA